rnacentral:rRNA from 1 species
UGGGGAAUUUUGGACAAUGGGGGAAACCCUGAUCCAGCCAUCCCGCGUGUGCGAUGAAGGCCUUCGGGUUGUAAAGCACUUUUGGCAGGAAAGAAACGUCGCGGGUUAAUACCCCGCGAAACUGACGGUACCUGCAGAAUAAGCACCGGCUAACUACGUGCCAGCAGCCGCGGUAAUACGUAGGGUGCAAGCGUUAAUCGGAAUUACUGGGCGUAAAGCGUGCGCAGGCGGUUCGGAAAGAAAGAUGUGAAAUCCCAGAGCUUAACUUUGGAACUGCAUUUUUAACUACCGGGCUAGAGUGUGUCAGAGGGAGGUGGAAUUCCGCGUGUAGCAGUGAAAUGCGUAGAUAUGCGGAGGAACACCGAUGGCGAAGGCAGCCUCCUGGGAUAACACUGACGCUCAUGCACGAAAGCGUGGGGAGCAAACAGGAUUAGAUACCCUGGUAGUCCACGCCCUAAACGAUGUCAACUAGCUGUUGGGGCCUUCGGGCCUUGGUAGCGCAGCUAACGCGUGAAGUUGACCGCCUGGGGAGUAC